CACAGUGCACCACAUUUGCCAAAUUCUACAAAGGAAUUGCAAGUCUUUUGACGUGUAUUUACAUCUCGCCUCGUCAAAAGCAAACCUGACAUGUCCUCCGAGUUGGCAGUUGCAAAUAAGAACCGUCGCUCUUUCGUAUUUGAUUAGUGCUUUGGGAUUUGUCUGAAUUAAAAACGACUUUAGCUGAUCUCGAGAUUUUGACUGGUGCGGCGGAAACGUCUCUAGUCGGCGGUGAAGCUCGGCGCCACUGACGCAAAGCGCAGAAGAAGAUCGGGCGACUUGCGGAAGUGUUGUCUUGACAACAGGGUAAUCUGCAAAACCGCCACUAAAGCAACUGAACACUGAAGAAACAAUGCCCGAGGUCAAGUCAAUAUUCAGAGAAGUUUUGCCUAAACAAGCUGUCCAUAGAAGAUGUUCCUACCAUGGUUCUCUGUAAGCCGAAGCUACUCCCUCUUAAAUCAGUCACCCUGGAGAAACUGGAAAAGAUGCAGUUGGAGGCUCAGGAGGCCAUCAAACAACAAGAACUGGC